rnacentral:rRNA from 1 species
UACGAAGGGGGCUAGCGUUGCUCGGAAUUACUGGGCGUAAAGCGCACGUAGGCGGCUUCGCAAGUCCCAUGUGAAAGCCCACGGCUUAACCGUGGAAGUGCAUGGGAAACUGCAGAGCUUGAGUACUUAAGAGGAUCGCGGAAUUCCCGGUGUAGAGGUGAAAUUCGUAGAUAUCGGGAGGAACACCAGUGGCGAAAGCGACUUCCUGGACCAAUACUGACGCUCAUGUGCGAAAGCGUGGGGAGCAAACAGG